GCGUCUGUAGCCUAGUUGGUAAAGGCAGCAUCCUAGCAUGUGUCUCAGCAUAGCCUAGGUUGUGAGUUCAACUCUCACCAGACACA
rnacentral:tRNA from 1 species